AACAGCAUGGAAUUUCUUCAUCAGCAAAUUCCAUGUCUCCUUCCUUACAGCUUGAAAGAACUUUACUUUGGGGGGUAACUUUCUAAAGAAUCCAUUUCAAAGGUCCACUGGGCUAUAAAAGAGAGUGCCAAAGACACCAAAUUAUCUUUCACUUAAGAAGACUAAGGAAACAAGCUCUUUGAAUCUUAUGGGUCCACCAAGGUGGUGAGCAGCCAUCUUUCUGGAAAAAAGAGUGGACAAGUACAGCACAACUACUGGAAAUGCAGGUUUCCUCACAGUAGUGGAUCACAGUGAAAUGCACCAGUCUUGAGCCUGUUCCUACUUUUACCUGUCUGCACAGGCUGCUGAGGAUGAACACAUGGAACUAGCAGGACUUGGGGAAAAAGCAGACCUAUGGAAAGGGAUCUUGAGAACAUCCUGAUCUCGGUUGGAGUAGAGGAGAAGAUAUCCAUCCUGCUGUUGUGAGCCCCAGUACAAGCAAGAAACUUUGUUCAGGAACAAAGAGACGAUGCCACGUUAAGCCAGGCCUAUGAGCAACUGGCCUCCAAAAUGGAGGAGAGAUGGAACCUCAGUGACUGGAGAAAUACCCCCUUUUGUGCUUGGGAAGGAGCAUAUAUAUCACAUUAAGCAAGACUAUCGAUCAGGGGAGGCGAGGACACAACUACUAGUGCCACACAAAUACUGCUGACUAGUGAUGCAGCUUGCCAAUGACAUCUCUUGCGUUGCCCACUGGGGCAAGAGAAAGUGCUGUGAUGAGUACUGUCCUGCUUCAACUGGCCUGGGGGCUUAUGAAACUUUUGUCACACAAGGGGUUCCUUCAUGAAAUAUUAACCAACCAAGGGACCAACUUCACCUUGCAGGUGAUGCAAGAGCUGUGCUUCCUUUUGACAUUAAUUCCUGGAAGACUUCUGUAUAUCAUCCAUAGACAUAUGGGCUCCUAGAAAGAUUUAACAAAAUCCUAAAAGAAAUGCUGAAGCACUUUGUCAGAUCUGAUCCCAGUAAUUGGGAUCAACUGCUUUCACCACUCUUUAUUCUCCGUAAGGGAGGUCCUGCAGGCCUCUACAGGCUUCUAUCCCUUUGAACUAUUGUAUGGCCAUCAGUCUCAGGGGAUCUUAAAUUGCAGCAUGAAGGUUAGGAGGAACAGGAUGUGACUAUUGUCAACUCAGCCCUGUAUAUUAUCCACCUAAGGGCGUGUCUUAAAAGGCUGAGUACAUUUGCUAGAUGAACUAAUUAACAUUUGCUACAAUACCAUUUGGACAGCAUGGGGGCUGUGGCAACCUUUCAAUGCCUCAUGAAAAAAGUUCUCAGACCCCACUACCAAUAUGCCAUUGCCUACCUAGACAAUAUCAUUAUCUGUAGCUUCAUGAUAGCUUCACUUGGGAGUAUCAUCUGCAGCACAUGAGAGGAGUAUUAGGGUCUUUCCAAUAAGCCAGUCUCACCUACUAAAUGUAAGUUAGAAACCACAGAAGUGACCCACCUUGGAUACUGUGUGGGAGGUAAACUCUUGAAAACGGUAACUGAUGAAGUGCUGGUGUCAAUUACGUGCCCAGACAAAAAGGCAAGUGAGUUGCUUCUUGGGCCUGGCUAUCUUUGCUUUGACUGCAGCUCCCCUAAGAGACCUUGUAAAAGGCAGUAGUCCCAGGAAAAUCCAAUGGGAUAAAAACUCUGAGAGGGCUUUUAACACCUGAAAGACAAACCUUUGUCAAUCACCCAUCCUUUUUAAUCCUGACUUUCCCCAAGAAUUUAUAUUACUUAUGGAUGCCUUGGAUGUCAGACUUGGUGCUGUGUUUUCACAGGACUUUGCAAAUGGGGAACACCCAGUCCUGUAUUUAAGUAGAAAAUUAUUCCCUGGGGAGAGAGCUUCCUCAGUUAUUGAGAAAGAAGCACUGGCAAUUAAAUAGGCCAUAGACUCUCUCAAGUACUACCUCCUGGACAAUCCCUUCUCAUUGAUCACUGAUCACACUCCCUUAUGUUGGUUAAAUACCCUGAAGGACUUGAACCCCCAUAUAAUGUGAUGGUACCUAGUACUGCAACUAUAGAAUUUCAAAGUAUAACGUUGUGCAUAUUCAAAACUACAGUGCACAGGGGUUUACCCAUGUGACUUCCAGUGGUUUUAACAGAAGUUGUGAGGCUAAAACCUCAUGUGCCACUUUGAAAAUAUGAAGAUAAAUUUUCACAUGCUAUGUGCCAGCACAAUUACAAUGUACUUGAAUAACUUCUACUGUGUUUAAUGUUGUGAUCUCCUGGUUUAUUUGUGUCUUGGGACUUGAGUUGUAUAAAGCCAAAGUCUUUGUUUAUAUAAUAAUUAUAUUGUAUAUUUUAUUAUUAUAAAAGGACCAUGCCAUUGAUGUAAGUUACUCAUGUCCUGUGGUGAGAGAAUUGAGCUAUCUAUUUGCAAUAAGAAACAAUCAAUGGUGUGACAGAUACUCUGUAUUAAUUUCAUAUCUGAAUAACUGCAGUUUUUGAAUGGAUACUGGAAAAGCGAGACAACAAGAGAACAAAAGAAAGCAACCCCAAAGCCACCACCAAAUAAACUUUAAACACUGAAUACCUAAAAUGACUGCUAUUGCACUGAAGUAGCCACUUCAGUGUGUUGCAGCUACAUUCAAAUUCCCUUUGCUCUGAAGUUUAUACAGUAUAUAUAUUUGAGCCAAAAAAAUGGAAGCUGGGAGCUUUUGAGAUGCAUGAUGCAGUUUGGAACAUAUGUUCAUUAGGAGCCCCAGAAUGCAGAGUUGUUUGAAUGGAGCUACUGCAAUAGGAUCCAAUAGAGGGCUACUGGCUACUGUUGCCACCCAUGAGAGAUUAUAUCUAUGUUCUUCACUUGGUGGUGGUUAAUUUCAUUCCCCUCCGGUGAAUGGUGUUUGGAGGGGAACACAAGUGGGAGAUAUCACUCUCCUUCCCCAAAGGGGAGUAGGGAGGUGGGCACUUUGGAAGCUAUGGCAGGGCUUUCCUCCUCCUCCUCCACAAAGAGCUGGCCCUUCACUUAAUUCAUACUAUCUCCGAGGGAGAUAGGAGGGAUGUGGAUAAUUUACUAUUAACCCCCACUUUUCUUAUUUAGUACUCAGCUAAUACCCACACAAAAGAUUCUAUAUUCAAUGAUUACCUACCUACAUUAGGUUGUUGUCCCAUCUCUAAUGCCAAUACUGAUGGCUGUAUUCAAACAAUAGAUAUUUAAGUAUUGAUCAGUCUCAUGGCAGUUAAUGUUCUCAUAGUCCUGAGGUAUUUAGAGUUUUUAAGAAGUAAUUUACCCAUUCUCCUUGACCAUAUUUCUAUACAGCGGAGCACUGUCCUGUGAAAAAUGUUAAAUAUCCAUGUCACACAUGCACACCAGGCUACUACCAGCCUUUUAGACGUCCAUCAGGUAAGUAAAUACAUAAACAAGCAAUUCAAUAAGAUGAGUUAGGCAGGACCAUUCUUAAAUAAGGAAAAAGAUUGUUAGAUUGUUAUCUCCUAUCAGCUGAUUAUUGUGCAUUUAUUUGUAACUGGCCUCUGGUAUAGGUUUAUUAUGUUGCCUGUUAGAAAUGACAAUCUGACAGCUCUGUUGUUUCUCUGAGUCAAUUUUAUCUCAGUUAUUGAAUACUGAAACCUCAUUAACUUGCUGCUAGGCCUCCAGAACUGUACUGAUUGCUGUCUGUAUAUAUAAGUGUAUAACUGCAAGUACUUUUGCAUGAAUUUUAUUGUUGGAGUUAUUUUUUGUAGGUUUCAGAACAAACAUGUUUUACCAUUGGAAAAAGGACUUUGAAUCUGAAUGCUAUGCUAGAAUAGGAGCCUAAUGCAUGUGUAAGCAAUAGUUAGUGAUACUUGGCACAUAGGAUGGUUUUCGUUCUGUUAUGGAUUUUUUUUAACCUCAAUGUUAUUUCUAACAUUUUGGCCUACAGCUACUCUACUUACUGGGUAUCCCCCUUUUCAGCCCCAGGCAACCAGAUUAUUAGAGCACUGACCAUUUCCAUCAGUCAGCAAUACCCUAUAUCUGUAAAAAAUCAUUACAUUGCAGUAAACAUUCCACAGUGGAAAAUGCCUGGUACAGUUGUCCAGGAUG